AUUGAACGCUGGCGGCAGGCUUAACACAUGCAGGUCGAGCGGAGAUGAGGUGCUUGCACCUUAUCUUAGCGGCGGACGGGUGAGUAAUGCUUAGGAAUCUGCCUAUUAGUGGGGGACAACAUUCCGAAAGGAAUGCUAAUACCGCAUACGUCCUACGGGAGAAAGCAGGGGAUCUUCGGACCUUGCGCUAAUAGAUGAGCCUAAGUCGGAUUAGCUAGUUGGUGGGGUAAAGGCCUACCAAGGCGACGAUCUGUAGCGGGUCUGAGAGGAUGAUCCGCCACACUGGGACUGAGACACGGCCCAGACUCCUACGGGAGGCAGCAGUGGGGAAUAUUGGACAAUGGGGGGAACCCUGAUCCAGCCAUGCCGCGUGUGUGAAGAAGGCCUUAUGGUUGUAAAGCACUUUAAGCGAGGAGGAGGCUACUGAGACUAAUACUCUUGGAUAGUGGACGUUACUCGCAGAAUAAGCACCGGCUAACUCUGUGCCAGCCGCCGCGGUAA
rnacentral:rRNA from 1 species